rnacentral:lncRNA from 1 species
GACCCCAGGCCUGAAAAAAAAACUAGAGGGGCAUGGUGUCUUCCCCAAGACUGGGAAGCCAUGUGUCCCCAACAUUGAGCUCAAAGGUGGUGUGGGGUCUGAUGGCGUGUGGGGCGGGUGUCUAGGUCCCGAACCUGCCACACGUGGCUCGGUCUGAUUGCCAGUGGCCUCCUAUCCUUUUUUGAGAGACGUGGUAAGCUCAGUCAGGUCAAUGGAGGACUCUUGAGCCUGGCCUCAGAGGCAGAGAGCAUUACUGGGCAUCUCUGGACACGAUGGGGCCUCCCUGCACAGACAGAGGAGACAGUGCAAGAGUUAGGCAAGAAGAGCGCAUGUGCACCACCAUCCGAGUUGCCUGUGGGCCAGGAGGAUGGAUUCCUGCGCUCCUCAGAAAACGUCCCUUUGGAUGGGCAAGGAAAGUCAAGAUCAGCAUCCAGGUGACACCCGAUGAAGUGUUUCUGCCGUGGCGGUCCAUUCCCACCCCCCAAAGAACCAGCCCAGUCCACUCACCAGGCUCGCUGUCACGCCGAUGGCAGAAGGUGUCCCAACGGUGUUUCCCUGCCUCUCCCCACCGCCGACCCACUCCAGCGAGGAGGUGGGGAGACAAGUCUCCCCGCUCAGCUGCUGUGAGGAGGAGAGGUGGUCAAGUGCCGGCGGGAAUACUUCUGCGAUCAGCGCCAUGAGGAUGUUGAUGGGACGUGUGUGCUGUAGGCAGCCCAGUGAGUGGAUUGGACUGGUUCUCGGGGGGGAGAGGGGGGAAUGGACCAAUCCCCCGGAUAGGAAGACGAUGCACCCACGUCUAAUCCGCAUCCGGGAAGUGAACAUGAUUGUGUCCUGCCUUGUUGCAAACAGGAACUCUCAAAGCAUUACGAUGCUCUGAAGAAGGGCUGGGAAGAAUGUCAAACCUGGAAUGAUGAUCCAGGAAGAAAAAUUCCCGUCAUCCCUCACUUCACCAGAGCCGACAGGGGCUGCAGCCCAUCCGGGCCUGCCAGGAUGCAGGAUGCAGGGAGCCACCCGACAGUGUUAAGAAGCAAACCCCGGACUCAAGAGGGGUGGGGUCUGGACCACUCCAUGAAGACGGGAGGGUGAAUUUGCUGUCAAAGCUGGGUGGACCUGCCGGUUCCCCAAGGCCUAGGGGGCCGAAAAUGGAAUGCAGCCUCGUAAGGAAGUGUUGCCGCAGGGAGGGCGGCCGGGUAAAAUUCCUCGUCUGCUUUCUGGCAGGAACUACGCUAAGUCCCAGCGAAGAGAACUGAAGCAAACCUUGCGAGAAUAAUAUUAAAAAAACAGCAUCACUUCACCAGAGCCGACAGGGGCUGCAGCCCAUCCGGGCCUGCCAGGCUGCAGGGUGCGGGAGCCACACGACAGUGUUAAGAAGCAAACCCUGGACUCAAGAGGGGUGGGGUCUGGAUCACUCCAUGAAGACGGGAGGGCGAAUUUGCUGCCAAAGCUGGGUGGACCUGCCGGUUCCCCAAGGCCUAGGGGGCCGAAAAUGGAAUGCAGCCGACCUUCCACAUCACACUCUUUCGCCUUGAGUGAAAGCCGCUUCUUCCUACGUGAAGAUGGAUCUGGAUGGUGCAGCAUCAUCCUUUCUGGCUUCCUUGCUGAUGAGCUGCCUUCCUUCCCUCUCUCCCUCCCCCAGGGCUGUGGCCAGCAGGAUGCCCCCCACCCCACCCACCCCCGGAG